rnacentral:rRNA from 1 species
GACAGAGGUGCCGAGCGUUAGGCGGAAUCACUGGGCUUAAAGCGUGUGUAGGCGGAUCGUUAAGUACCUUGUGAAAUCCCACGGCUCAACCGUGGAACGGCUGGGUAUACUGGCGAUCUUGAGCGAUUCAGGGGCAGAUGGAACAAGUGGUGGAGCGGUGGAAAUGCGUAGAUAUCACUUGGAACGCCAAAGGUGAAGACAGUCUGCUGGGAAUCUGCUGACGCUGAGACACGAAAGCCAGGGGAGCGAACGGG